UUUGUAUUAAUAAUUUUAUUGAUUCUUGUAUUCUCUGAUUAAUUAGGAAAGACUUAUUUAAUCUUGAAUAUCCUCCAAUUAAUUAGAGAAGUUUUUGUUUAAUCUUGAAAAAAUAUUUCACACUGCUGAAAUAGCUUCUUAGGAUAGUGCCUUGCACGACUCAAGUAUAAUUAAUAUAAUAUCAUUGUAAUAUUUAUUUAAUAUUCUAUAUCAUUAAUUUGUCAAUAAAAAAUUAUAUUACUGUUAUAAUUAUUAUAUCAGUUAUAAUAUUAUUAUUUUAACAUUAUUAUUAUUAUUAUUAUUAUUAUUAUGUCAUUGUACUGCUGAUAUUAUUAUUGUUAUAUUAUUAUCUUGUUAAUAAUUAAUUAAUAUUGUUAUUAUUAUUUUACCAUUGUUCCCAACAUGCCUAUACUUCAAGGUCUAUUCAAGAGGACCCCAACCGCACUCAUAACAAAACGAAGAGCUUAAGAGGGCUGUUUGGAGCUCCAGUUGAAAUAAUUCUAUAUUUGAAUGAUAGAUUAGAGCAAAAGAAAGACUAUGAUCAUGAUCAAGUGGGAUGAGCAGAUGUUUUUGUCUCAGUGUAUGAGAUUUUUCCCUCAGCAGUGACUCAUCUCAGUAGAAAUGAUUCUGUGGAGUCCGUACCCCCCUUUCCCCACCCCACAAUAUGAAAAUGUCUUUGUUAGUGAGCAUUUUACUCCCUCCCCUUAUUCAAUGUGGGACUUUUCAAAGUGAAUUCAAAUUUAAUUGAGUUUCAAUACGGUAUCAACCACCAGGUAGGAAACAGAAAAGGGGUGGGGGGGUGGAGGGUGGAGGGUGGAGGGGAGUUCACAAAUAACAAAUUAGACCCAUUAAUUAAAAGGAACGCAAUAAUUUCUUGCUAAUUACCCUAAAUAAUAACAUGUAUAUGUAUUUGAUGCGGAGACAACAUCAAAUACAUAAACCAAUAAAUUAAUUACCUUAUUGUUAAGUAAUAACUUGAGUUUGCCUAAAAUGAAUUAACUAAAGAUUAAAUAUCAUAUUUUAUAUUUUCACAUCUCUACCGCAUUGUAUUUUACAUUUUUCACUACUCUCUCUUUUUAUUUUUUAUUUUAUUUUCAUUUUAUAUUUUAUAUUUUAUAUUUUCAUAUCUUUCA
rnacentral:lncRNA from 1 species